UCCUUUGUUUAUAAUCUGUGUGAAGGCAGAGGGAUAUUCAGUCUGGCUCACAUCUUGUGCCUGCAGCAACUGUCAGUACCAAUGCCAACUGUCAGCACUCUGUAAUCAUGAUGAUGUCUGCACAAGGAGACAGAGUGACCGUAAUGAAGGAUAUUACAUCAGCCAUUUUUCAGUCCUCUGGGACCCUAUCUGACUCCAGUGAUUUAUGAAAGAUCAUCAUCAAUACCUCCAGGUCACUGAAGAUUGAUGGGCACUAAACACUGCUGACGAUUGAUGGGCCUAGGACACUAUUCUGAUGAACUCCUGAAGAGAUGUCCUGGAACUGAGAUGACUGACCUCCAACAGCCACAGCCAUCUUCCUAUGUAGCAGGCAUGACUCCAACAAACAGGGAGCUUACCCUGAUUCCCACUGAUUUCAAUUUUCUAGGGCUGUGUCACAUCUUUCAAAUUUUCAGGCAUUGAUUUUCAGGCACUGGAGACCCCCUUAGAUGAGUUGACCAGGAAGUGAGGUAAAUAGUUCAUGGACAGAGAUUUGUUAAAUAUUUUGUUAGUACAAUCUUCGCAAAUCCUUUCUUCACUCUCUGUUUCAUAGUUAUUUCAAUUAACCUGUUUGGAUAUAUUGUGGUACACUUCCAGAAUAGAUAAGACUUGAAUUUGGACUUUCUGGCACAGCAGGUUGGGACACUAUCCUGUGCUACAAGUACCCAAACUUUCCCUUUUAUACUGUGACACCAAAGGAGUGAAAGUCAAUACCAUGUAAUGUUGUUAUGCAACCAACAACUGAACAUAGGAACAAGGAAUUGCUAGACAAAGGGAUGUGCAGCAUCUAUCUAAUUUAACUUCACUCAUCCUUCAAGUAUCAAAAUCCAGCAGCACUCAAGUUGGUCAUUCAUCGUCAAAAAAAUCUCUAGCAUUUUUAAUUAAUCCCAAGACAAAGUCCUGUGAUGGAGGGCUUUAGAAACUGGAUAUCCAAUGACAUCUGUUCCUCCAAAGCAGUUUUUCUUACCAUGUGUAAAACUACUACAUCCAAGAUCUUCCAUAUUCUGAUACUUGGUACUUCAGGGCAAUUUUUUUUAAAAGUUCAUUGUGUUCUUGUUUGUGGCCUGACAACAUAAGGAAAUGAAAUGAAAUAUUGCAUAAAUAAACAAUUGAUACAAAAAUACACCUUUCCAUAAACAAGUCCUCUAACAAUAAAAUUAAUAAUGUUUUUUAUUCAUUCAGGAUGAUUGUCAGCUAAUUUCUCAAUAUAAGGUGUCAUUUUUAAAGUUUGAACAACCUCUUUUGGACGUGAAACACAAGUUAGUGACUCAAUGCAAAUACAUUCUCCCAUAAGAAAACUACUUCCAAACACAACGCACCACUUAAAAAAAAACUUUUUUGUCAAAAGGAAAGAAUGAAUGCUGAAGAAUGAAUGAACCCUGAAGUAAAGAUAGCAUUCUGAUUGUGGCAUUUUAUGUUAGUAAUUUCUGCACAAAAUGGACCCAGUCAUGAUGUACCUUUUUAAAUAGCUAUUGGUCAAAUCAAAUACUAAUCAUGGUGAGCUCAUGAAUGUAACUAACAAUGCUUAUAGCCAAUAAAUAACAUCUUGUUGACAUUGA